rnacentral:rRNA from 1 species
UACAGAGGGUGCGAGCGUUAAUCGGAAUUACUGGGCGUAAAGCGUGCGUAGGUGGUCUGUUAAGUCUGAUGUGAAAGCCCUGGGCUCAACCUGGGAAUUGCAUUGGAUACUGGCAGGCUAGAGUGCGGUAGAGGAUGGCGGAAUUCCCGGUGUAGCAGUGAAAUGCGUAGAGAUCGGGAGGAACAUCUGUGGCGAAGGCGGCCAUCUGGACCAGCACUGACACUGAGGCACGAAAGCGUGGGGAGCAAACAGG